GCCCAGCCGUAAACAAUUAACUUACACUAAUAAACGCCAGGGAACUACGAGCCAUGCUUAAAACCCAAAGGACUUGACGGUGUCCAUACCAACUAGAGGAGCCUGUUCUAUAAUCGAUGAUCCCCGCUAUACCUAACCAUCCCUUGCUUUAUCAGCCUGUAUACCUCCGUCAUAAGCCUACCAUGUGAACGUCAACAGUGGGCCCAAUGGUUUGUAUAACCAAAAUGCCAGGUCAAGGUGCAGCUCACGGAAUGGUAAGUAAUGGGCUACAAUUUCUAAUCUAGAACAAACGGAAAGCUAUGUGAAAUCACAGCCUAAAGGUGGAUUUAGUAGUAAAAAGAAAAUAGAGUGUUCUUUUUAACCCGGCUCUGGGACACGUACACACCGCC
rnacentral:rRNA from 1 species